rnacentral:tRNA from 1 species
GGGUAGUAGUUCAGCGGUAGAACGUCGGUCUCCAAAACCGAAUGCCAUGGGUUCAAAUCCUGUCUGCCC